rnacentral:rRNA from 1 species
UACGUAGGGUGCGAGCGUUAAUCGGAAUUACUGGGCGUAAAGCGUGCGUAGGCGGUUCUCCAAGUCCGUUGUGAAAUCCCCGGGCUUAACCUGGGAAUGGCAGUGGAAACUAGGGGACUUGAAUCUGGCAGAGGGGGGUGGAAUUCCACGUGUAGCAGUGAAAUGCGUAGAGAUGUGGAGGAACACCGAUGGCGAAGGCAGCCUCCUGGGCUGAGAUUGACGCUGAGUGCACGAAAGCGUGGGGAGCAAACAGG